rnacentral:rRNA from 1 species
AUUGAACGCUGGCGGCAUGCUUUACACAUGCAAGUCGAACGGCAGCACGGACUUCGGUCUGGUGGCGAGUGGCGAACGGGUGAGUAAUACAUCGGAACGUGCCCAGUUGCGGGGGAUAACUACUCGAAAGAGUAGCUAAUACCGCAUGAGAACUGAGGUUGAAAGCAGGGGAUCGUAAGACCUUGUGCAACUGGAGCGGCCGAUGGCAGAUUAGGUAGUUGGUGGGAUAAAAGCUUACCAAGCCGACGAUCUGUAGCUGGUCUGAGAGGACGACCAGCCACACUGGGACUGAGACACGGCCCAGACUCCUACGGGAGGCAGCAGUGGGGAAUUUUGGACAAUGGGCGAAAGCCUGAUCCAGCAAUGCCGCGUGCAGGAUGAAGGCCUUCGGGUUGUAAACUGCUUUUGUACGGAACGAAAAGCUUCGGGUUAAUACCCUGGAGUCAUGACGGUACCGUAAGAAUAAGCACCGGCUAACUACGUGCCAGCCGCCGCGGUAAUAC